GAUGAACGCUGGCGGCGUGCCUAAUACAUGCAAGUCGAGCGAAUGGAUUAAGAGCUUGCUCUUAUGAAGUUAGCGGCGGACGGGUGAGUAACACGUGGGUAACCUGCCCAUAAGACUGGGAUAACUCCGGGAAACCGGGGCUAAUACCGGAUAACAUUUUGAACCGCAUGGUUCGAAAUUGAAAGGCGGCUUCGGCUGUCAAUUAUGGAUGGACCCGCGUCGCAUUAGCUAGUUGGUGAGGUAACGGCUCACCAAGGCAACGAUGCGUAGCCGACCUGGGCGGGUGAUCGGCCACACUGGGACGUAGCCACGGCCCAGACACCUACGGGAGGCAGCAGUAGGGAAUCUUCCGCAAUGGACGAAAGUCUGACGGAGCAACGCCGCGUGAGUGAUGAAGGCUUUCGGGUCGUAAAACUCUGUUGUUAGGGAAGAACAAGUGCUAGUUGAAUAAGCUGACACCUUGACGGUACCUAACCAGAAAGCCACGGCUAACUACGUGCCAGCCGCCGCAGUAA
rnacentral:rRNA from 1 species